rnacentral:snRNA from 1 species
GUGCUUGCUUUGGCAUUACUUAUACUAAAAUGGGAACGAUACAGAGAAGAUUAGUGUGGCCCCGCACAAGGAUGAUAUGCAAAUUCGUGAAGCGUUCCAUUUUUUU